rnacentral:rRNA from 1 species
UACGGAGGGUGCGAGCGUUGUCCGGAAUCACUGGGCGUAAAGGGCGCGUAGGUGGCGCGACAGUCAACGGUGAAAGCUCGGCGCUCAACGCCGAGUCGGCCGUCGAUACUGUUGGGCUUGAGCACUGUAGAGGCUAAUGGAAUUCCGGGUGUAGCGGUGGAAUGCGUAGAGAUCCGGAAGAACGACCGGUGGCGAAGGCGGUUAGCUGGGCAGUUGCUGACACUGAGGCGCGGACAGCCGUGGGG